GACGAAGGGGGGCUAGCGUUGUUCGGAAUUACUGGGCGUAAAGCGCGUGUAGGCGGUUGUUCAAGUCAGGUGUGAAAGCCUUGAGCUCAACUCAAGAAAUGCACUUGAUACUGGGUGGCUAGAGAUCGGGAGAGGAUAGUGGAAUUCCCAGUGUAGUGGUGAAAUACGUAGAGAUUGGGAAGAACACCAGUGGCGAAGGCGGCUAUCUGGACGGUUUCUGACGCUAAGACGCGAAAGCGUGGGGAGCAAACAGG
rnacentral:rRNA from 1 species